rnacentral:rRNA from 1 species
UUUGACUGGGGCGGUCUCCUCCUAAAGAGUAACGGAGGAGCACGAAGGUUGGCUAAUCCUGGUCGGACAUCAGGAGGUUAGUGCAAUGGCAUAAGCCAGCUUGACUGCGAGCGUGACGGCGCGAGCAGGUGCGAAAGCAGGUCAUAGUGAUCCGGUGGUUCUGAAUGGAAGGGCCAUCGCUCAACGGAUAAAAGGUACUCCGGGGAUAACAGGCUGAUACCGCCCAAGAGUUCAUAUCGACGGCGGUGUUUGGCACCUCGAUGUCGGCUCAUCACAUCCUGGGGCUGAAGUAGGUCCCAAGGGUAUGGCUGUUCGCCAUUUAAAGUGGUACGCGAGCUGGGUUUAGAACGUCGUGAGACAGUUCGGUCCCUAUCUGCCGUGGGCGCUGGAGAACUGAGGGGGGCUGCUCCUAGUACGAGAGGACCGGAGUGGACGCAUCACUGGUGUUCGGGUUGUCAUGCCAAUGGCACUGCCCGGUAGCUAAAUGCGGAAGAGAUAAGUGCUGAAAGCAUCUAAGCACGAAACUUGCCCCGAGAUGAGUUCUCCCUGACUCCUUGAGGGUCCUGAAGGAACGUUGAAGACGACGACGUUGAUAGGCCGGGUGUGUAAGCGCAGCGAUGCGUUGAGCUAACCGGUACUAAUGAACCGUGAGGCUUAACCUU